rnacentral:misc_RNA from 1 species
CCUCCUUUCUAAGGAAACCAAUAAAAUCAAUCAUCUUCAGUUUUGAAAGACUUAGGAUAACUAAGUUUUUCUUCGUGACUUCACGAAGGGCCUAUAGCUCAGUUGGUUAGAGCACACGCCUGAUAAGCGUGAGGUCGGUGGUUCAAGUCCAUUUAGGCCCACCAGAGUUAUAGGUGUCGUAAGAACACAAAUUCUUUGAAAAUUAGGUAAAUAAUAGUUAUUUUUCCGGAACAUUAAAGGAA